rnacentral:misc_RNA from 1 species
UCCGGUUUGUCACCGGCAGUCUCAUUAGAGUGCCCUUUCGUAGCAACUAAUGACAAGGGUUGCGCUCGUUGCGGGACUUAACCCAACAUCUCACGACACGAGCUGACGACAGCCAUGCAGCACCUGUGUUCAGAUUCUCUUUCGAGCACACCCAAAUCUCUUCGGGCUCUCUGACAUGUCAAGGGUAGGUAAGGUUUUUCGCGUUGCAUCGAAUUAAUCCACAUCAUCCACCGCUUGUGCGGGUCCCCGUCAAUUCCUUUGAGUUUUAAUCUUGCGACCGUACUCCCCAGGCGGUCUACUUCACGCGUUAGCUGCGUUACCAAGUCAAUUAAGACCCGACAACUAGUAGACAUCGUUUAGGGCGUGGACUAC